UAUACUUGUUACGUCAUAGCUAUGUUCGGUAGUAUUUAUUGUGGACCUUGCUGUGUGACGUCACAAUAAGGCACGCGGUGAAUGCCAACGAAUUUUUGCUGCUUUCAUCUAUAAUGUU
rnacentral:pre_miRNA from 10 species